rnacentral:sRNA from 1 species
GCAUUGACCCACGGCUUCCUUUUGUGUGUUUAAUUUAUCAAAGUGCUACAACUGAGUUUAUUCUUCAAAUCUGGACAAAGAGCAUUUAAUUUGAGCUGUAUGUUGAUGUAGGAAUCUCGGUAGCAGAGUGCUGCCGAGUGCCGAUGAUCAGAUGUGUCUUAUAUGUGCAAUACUGUGUUUGUUUCUGUUUGUUCUUGUUAUGGACUUUGGAAUGCAUUAGAUAUUUCUGUUCGCAUCAGUUGGAUACAUUCAUUUGGGUACCUAGAAUCAUUAAGGCAUUGCUGGCAGUGCCUAUGUGUCUCACAGGUCUUCAUUUAACUCGCCCGUAAUAAACCAGUCUUUCAGAUCCCCCGUUAUUCACUUCAGACAUUCAUCAUUAGAUAAAACUCUGAGCAACUGUUUAUGGAAGAUAACGGUCAGUGAAUCAGGGAGGCACCUAAAGUGUUACAACAUUGCUUUUGAUUUUCCUUUGGAUGUAAAUUUAACGAUUGAAUGCAAGAACUUAUUGAGAAUUUGUUUUUCAAGCCAAUCCAAAGAUGGGAUGACCUAAUUAACCUUACCGGGGAAAUAAAUUACACAUCAAAUUUUGAAAAGUCUGCAACCAAUGUAUGAUGUUUCUUGUAUCCAUUGUUAAUAUAUUUUUUAUAUUUUGAAUAUUGUCAUUUAAUAUGUAACAGUUUGUAGAAAAAUUGUCAUCUGGCUAAAUGGAAUGCUAUUUACAAAAUAAUUUGGAAGCUACUGUAAGUUUUAAAGAAAAAAAAAACAGCAAAAAAUCUUGAUCAUGUAUAGACAAAAUUAUGCAAGUUUAAAUUAGAAUUUUAAAAAAUGCUUAUAAUAUUCAAAAAGAUCUCUAGAAUUUUUAGUAACAUUUCGAAUGAUUUUUUGAAAAGGAUUGUAAGAGGUGCUAUGUGCCCUUACAAAGAAGGAGAGGGAAAUUAGCAUGGACUAAAGAGAAGGGGCUGAUGUAUGGCCCCCGAGUUAUUGAUUUUGUUUUAGCUUUAAAUGGUUGCACACAUCCUCAUGUCUGAAAACAUUCCAAGCAUGGUUGUACGCUGAGCGAGUGUGACAACAGACCAGGUCUGGAACAGACUGUGAUAAUAUCCUGAUCAGAUACAUCCUUGUCUGGAACAGACUGUGAUAAUAUCCUGAUCAGAUACAUCCUUGUCUGGAACAGACUGUGAUAAUAUCCUGAUCAGAUACAUCCUUGUCUGGAACAGACUGUGAUAAUAUCCUGAUCAGAUACAUUCUUGUCUGGAACAGACUGUGAUAAUAUCCUGAUCAGAUACAUCCUUGUCUGGAACAGACUGUGAUAAUAUCCUGAUCAGAUACAUUCUUGUACUACCUUUUUAUCGCAUAACUUAUUUAAUCAUUUUAAUCUUAAAAAAAAAAAUGGAAACAUUACGUAAAUAAAACAACAAAUAAACUCC